AAUUCAAUCUGUACAGGGUAAUAUUCUCAUUGUCUUUAUUACAAAUGGUGAGUGAUUAGCAUGAGACCUAUGACUUAAUGUAAGCCCCAUGAGAGCAGGGACCUCAUGCCUUACGCUAGCCUGAGAUAUGGAAGCUGCUCAACAUACAUUUAGUUUUCUAAUUUUUAUUUUGAAUUAUAGUUAAUUCCUGAACAGCAUGGGUUUGAACUGUGUGGGUCCACUUAUAUGGAAAUUUUCUUCCACCUCUUCCGCCCCUGAGACACCAAGACCAACCACUCCCUUCGUCUUCCUCCUCAGCCCACUCAGCGUGAAGACCAUGAGGAUAAAGAGCUUUACGAUGAUCCACUUCCACUAAAUGAAUUGGAAAUAUAGUUUUUUUCCUUAUGAUGUUUUUAAUAACAUCUGAGUCUCAUCACCUUCCAUAAAUUUACUGAUUUGCUAAAUUAUGAUAU